GGACGGUUAGCUCAGCUGGUUAGAGNNGCUACAUUGACAUUGUAGAGGUCAUAGGUUCGAGUCCUAUACCGUCCACCA
rnacentral:tRNA from 1 species